UAUUUCUUCCUAACUUUGCGAUGCUUACUAUACGAGAAGCUGUUGGUUCAACAGUUGCAUGGCCUUCUCAAAAGGUUAUUCCAAGAGAUUCAACAAGUCAAGUGCAAAAGAAUAUCUGAUUUGGAAGGCUUUGGUGUGCUGACAUUUGGAAGAUCAUGAAUUCCUACCUUUACUUUUGAAUAUGCAACUGUUUAAGACUAUUUUGUUGACUAUUGUGAGAAUGUUUUGUUUAUGUUAAUUAGGCAGUGUUGAAUAUCUUAAGACUUUUGGAUUAUUUUUUAGAUAAUCUUGAAUGUAUUUUGACACAAUUAUUUGGUUA